rnacentral:rRNA from 2 species
AAAUUGAAGAGUUUGAUCAUGGCUCAGAUUGAACGCUGGCGGCAGGCCUAACACAUGCAAGUCGAACGGUAACAGGAAGCGCUUGCUGCUUCGCUGACGAGUGGCGGACGGGUGAGUAAUGUCUGGGAAACUGCCUGAUGGAGGGGGAUAACUACUGGAAACGGUAGCUAAUACCGCAUAACGUCGCAAGACCAAAGAGGGGGACCUUCGGGCCUCUUGCCAUCGGAUGUGCCCAGAUGGGAUUAGCUUGUUGGUGGGGUAACGGCUC